rfam:Triticum aestivum genome assembly, contig: Triticum_aestivum_CS42_TGACv1_scaffold_326306_4BL
AAUGUACUCCCUCCGUCCGAAAAUACUUGUCAUCACAAUGGAUAAAAAUGGAUGUAUCUAAAACUAAAAUACAUCUAGAUACAUCAUCUUUUAUUCAUUUUGAUGACAAGUAUUUUCAGACGUAGGGAGUAUUAU